CCUACGGGUGGCAGCAGUGGGGAAUAUUGGACAAUGGACGAAAGCCUGAUCCAGCCAUGCCGCGUGUGUGAAGAAGGCCUUCGGGUUGUAAAGCACUUUCAGUGGGGAAGAAAGCCUUGGGGCUAAUACCCUCGAGGAAGGACAUCACCCACAGAAGAAGCACCGGCUAACUCCGUGCCAGCAGCCGCGGUAAUACGGAGGGUGCGAGCGUUAAUCGGAAUUACUGGGCGUAAAGCGCGCGUAGGCGGUCUGAUAAGCCGGUUGUGAAAGCCCCGGGCUCAACCUGGGAACGGCAUCCGGAACUGUCAGGCUAGAGUGCAGGAGAGGAAGGUAGAAUUCCCGGUGUAGCGGUGAAAUGCGUAGAGAUCGGGAGGAAUACCAGUGGCGAAGGCGGCCUUCUGGACUGACACUGACGCUGAGGUGCGAAAGCGUGGGUAGCAAACAGGAUUAGAUACCCGAGUAGUC
rnacentral:rRNA from 1 species